AGCAAGUCACGGCUAAUUACGUGCCAGCAGCCGCGGUAAUACGUAGGUGGCAAGCGUUGUCCGGAUUUAUUGGGCGUAAAGGGANCGCAGGCGGUCUUUUAAGUCUGAUGUGAAAGCCCUCGGCUUAACCGGNGAAGGGCAUUGGAAACUGGAAGACUUGAGUGCAGAAGAGGANAGUGGAANUCCAUGUGUAGCGGUGAAAUGCGUAGAUAUAUGGAAGAACACCAGUGGCGAAAGCGGCUCUCUGGUCUGUAACUGACGCUGAGGUUCGAAAGCGUGGGGAGCAAACAGGAUUAGAUACCCUGGUAGUCCACGCUGUAAACGAUGAAUGCUAAGUGUUGGNGGGUUUCCGCCCUUUAGUGCUGCAGCUAACGCACU
rnacentral:rRNA from 1 species